rnacentral:misc_RNA from 1 species
GAUGAAGAACGUAGCGAAAUGCGAUAAGUAGUGUGAAUUGCAGAAUUCAGUGAAUCAUCGAAUCUUUGAACGCACAUUGCGCCCUUUGGUAUUCCUUAGGGCAUGCCUGUUCGAGCGUCAUUUCAACCAUCAAGCCCCCAGGGGCUUGUGCUGGGGCCCUGCGGCUGCCCGCAGGCCCUGAAAACCAGUGGCGGGCUCGCUAGUCACACCGAGCGCAGUAGCACAUCUCGCUCAGGGCGUGCGGCGGGCUCCUGCCGUGAAACCCCCCACUGUAACCCCAAAGGUUGACCUCGGAUCAGGUAGGAAUACCCGCUGAACUUAAGCAUAUCAAUAAGCGGAGGA